CCGGGGAUGUAUUUCUAGCAACAGUGGCAUAUAAAACAGGCGUGACGCACGGCUGGGUUCAUUUAAAACCAUGGUGGGAGCACUGCACAAAUGCAAAUACUUCAGGCAAUGGGAUUGUUCGGCGCUGUCACCCCCACACAAGUGGAGAAGUGGGACAAUCUGAAGUGGAAACAUAAGGAGUAGAGCUGCCCCCCAAAUGGGAUAGGGACCGACAUUUUUACAGCAUUGCAUGAGGCCAUCGUUUGGGAAGCCAUCGAUCGACCUUCCCACACUGAUGGACUCUGCCACUGCUGCUGUGGCCUCUGGUGUAUAGCUCACCGAUCCUGUCCGGAGACAGGACACAGUGCUGGAGGAGGAGGCCGCUGAGUCUGCAUGUACCAUCCACCUCUGCUGGUCCCCUUCCCCACAGAAAUAAAAAUAAAUCUGAACUGCGGCAGUUUCUGGAGGACCGAUCUAAAUGCCAGUGGAAAUUCCUCAAACUGUUUGAGGAGUAAGUCUGAAAAGAAUAGUUCAGUUAUCUUUUUCUUUUGGUUCAAGUCCAUACUUCUGUGUUGUUAUGUUUUGGAAUUGAUU